AACAAGUGCUAAUACCGUAUAAUACCAACAACCGCAUGGUUGUUGGUUGAAAGAUGGUUCUGCUAUCACUAAGAGAUGGACCCGCGGUGCAUUAGCUAGUUGGUAAGGUAACGGCUUACCAAGGCAAUGAUGCAUAGCCGAGUUGAGAGACUGAUCGGCCACAAUGGGACUGAGACACGGCCCAUACUCCUACGGGAGGCAGCAGUAGGGAAUCUUCCACAAUGGGCGCAAGCCUGAUGGAGCAACGCCGCGUGUGUGAUGAAGGGUUUCGGCUCGUAAAACACUGUUAUAAGAGAAGAACGGCACUGAGAGUAACUGUUCAGUGUGUGACGGUAUCUUACCAGAAAGGAACGGCUAAAUACGUGCCAGCAGCCGCGGUAAUACGUAUGUUCCAAGCGUUAUCCGGAUUUAUUGGGCGUAAAGCGAGCGCAGACGGUUAUUUAAGUCUGAAGUGAAAGCCCUCAGCUCAACUGAGGAAUGGCUUUGGAAACUGGAUGACUUGAGUGCAGUAGAGGAAAGUGGAACUCCAUGUGUAGCGGUGAAAUGCGUAGAUAUAUGGAAGAACACCAGUGGCGAAGGCGGCUUUCUGGACUGUAACUGACGUUGAGGCUCGAAAGUGUGGGUA
rnacentral:rRNA from 1 species